GCGAUGUGACAUGGAAGGAGAGUCGCAAGUCGUCACUCGUUUUGUAGCGCUUAUAAGAUACAGAUGUACCGCUUGUUAGUUGUUAGCGGUCAAUAGCAAGUGUUGAGUGUAUAAAAUCAAUCUAUUGACAAAGAAAUAAAACUUUUAAAACCAUGGGUGGAUAUGCCUGGGUUACAUUAGCUACCAAUGAUGCUUAUUCUUUGGGAGCUUUAGUUUUGGCACAUUCUUUACGUCGAGUUGGUACGAAAUAUGAAUUAGCUGUUUUGAUUACUCCUGGAGUAACGCAGAUAAUGAGGGAAAAACUUUCAGGAAUCUUUUCUGUAGUAAUGGAAGUAAAUGUACUUGAUUCAAAAGAUGAAGCUAAUUUGGCACUUUUAGCUAGACCAGAAUUAGGUAUUACAUUCACCAAACUUCAUUGCUGGAGAUUGACUCAAUAUGAAAAGUGUGUAUUUCUUGAUGCAGAUACACUUGUUGUCAAAAAUUGUGAUGAACUAUUUGAAAGAGAAGAAUUAUCUGCUGCGCCUGAUGUGGGUUGGCCUGAUUGUUUCAAUUCUGGUGUAUUUGUAUAUAGACCAUCUCAACAAACUUUCGCUUCUAUUACUGCAUUUGCUGCUGCUAAAGGUUCAUUUGAUGGUGGUGACCAAGGAUUAUUGAAUAUGUAUUUCAGUGAUUGGGCUAGAAAAGAUAUUUCUAAACAUUUACCAUUUAUUUAUAAUAUGUGUUCUACUGCUACAUACUCUUAUCUACCUGCAUUCAAGCAGUUUGGAGAUGAUGUUAGAAUAAUUCAUUUUAUUGGUAUUACAAAACCAUGGUUACAGUAUUUUGACACAUUAACUGGUGUUGUUCAACCACCAAUGGGUUCUACACACUUGCAACCAUUAUUACAAUUAUGGUGGAACAUAUUUUGUGAAAAAGUCCAUUCUCAAUUAUCACCUGUAAUGGCUGGUCUUGCUGGUGCCUUGGCUCAAAUGACAUUAGGUGAACCGAGAAGCUCUGAACAAAUUGCAUUAGAAGAACAUAUGCGAAAACAAAGUUGGGAACAAGGUCAAAUAGAUUAUAUGGGUCGAGAUAGUUUUGAUAACAUUUGGAAAAAAAUUUGUGAAACUCUUGCUCUUGCACCUCUACGAUUACCAUCUCCUCCUAAAGAAAUACGAAAGUCUGUUAAAACUACAAUUGAUGAAACUGAUGAAUUUAUUAAAUCUGCUGAAACUACUCAAUUUAUUAAAUCUACAGAUGAAGUGGAUAAAAGAACCGGAACGGAGGACAGCAACUAACAGAUCCUGGCGCCAUAGCAUUGCUACAUCUUAUAAUGUCAUUUUGCUUUAAUGGGCUCAAACAAGCAGUCAUACUGAAGAACAAUCUCUAGUUAAUAAUGUUCCUACCACAAAUGUACCUAAAUUAUUGGAAGAUCAAAAGAAUGAAGAUGAUAGUUCGAGAGAAUCACAAAAUGAUACAUUUAUAGAUUCUCCUGCAAAUCUUUCUCUACAAACAUCUCAUGAAGAAAUAACAAAACAUAAUACAAUUGAAUUAUUAAAUAAAAUUUCACAACAGAUUAGUAUACCUAUAGUAUCAUCUGAUUUAAAUCAAUCUUGUACAAUUGGAGAACAGAAAAUAAUAAUUUCAACAAAAGAACUAGAAAACAAAU
rnacentral:misc_RNA from 1 species